rnacentral:lncRNA from 10 species
CAGGCGCCUGUAGUCCCAGCUACUUGGGAGGCUGAAGCAGGAGAAUGGCAUGAACCCGGGAGGUGGAGCUCGCAGUGAGCUGAGAUCACGCCACUGCACUCCAGCCUGGGCGACUCCGUCUCAAAAAAAAAAAAAAAAAAAUUGGCCCAGCACUGUGGCUCACACCUAUAAUCCCAGCACUUUGGGAGGCCUAGGCGGGCAGAUCACAUGAAGCCAGGAGUUUGAGACCAGCCUUGCCAACAUGGCGAAACCCCACCUUUACCAAAAAUGCAAAAAUUGGUCAGGCAUGGUGGUGCAUGUCUGUAAUCCCAGCUACUCAGGAGGCUGAGGCAGGAAAAUCACUUGAGCCUGGGAGGUGGAGGUUGCAGUGAGCCGAGAUCACACCACUGCAUUCCAGCCUGGCUGACAGAGUGAAACUCUGUCUUAAAAAAUGAAAAUAAAAUUUUAAAAAUUAUUUAUUUAUUUGUUUUAACUAGUCUCAUGAUUGGCUAUCAAUGCAAGUUUUUCUAAGUUUGUGGGUAAAUGAAUCUUUCUGGGGAGCUUUUUGUGUGUGUUCACAAAGGUCCUUGUCCUAAAGGAAUUUAAGAGCCUUUUUUCCUGUAGCAGAAGCAACUUGCCUCUUUCUCUCUCCAGCCCCACAGGACACAGUGGCUGCUGAGAACACCACCUGGGAAGCCACCAGUACCCUAUAUGUAAUAGUCUGCAAAACCGUUUCACUAGUGUGACCCUCUCAAGCAAGUACUUCACACAGAGAUCACUCUCUACCCAGCAACCCAAAUUUUGUCAGCUUUCAUCCUCUCCUUUGCCAAAAAUAUCUGGCCAAUUACUUAAUUCUGUUUCUCUUCCUAUUGAAUUCCCUACUUCUAUUGAUUUCUGAAAUUACCUGAUUCUAUUGAUCAAUUCUACUGGAAAUCAACAGAAUUUGGUAAUUGAUUGGAGAUUUCCUUCCUCUUUGCCACAAGGAUCUAAACUGCCAUGAGGCCCUAGUAAUGCUUCUCUCUCUCUUUUUAAUUUUUUUUGUUUGAGACAGUGUCUUGGCCUGUGGCCCAGGCUGGAGUGCAGCGGCGCAAUCUCGGCUCACUGCAACCUCCGCCUCCCUGGUUCAAACAAUUCUCAUGCUUCAGCCCCCUGAGUAGCUGGGAUUACAGGCACACACCACCAUAAUCAGCUAAGUUUUGUAUUUUUUAGUAGAGAUGGGGUUUCACCAUGUUGGCCAGUCUGGUCUUGAACUCCUGACUUCAAGUGAUUCACCUGCCUCAGCCUCCCAAGUGCUGGGAUUACAAGCGUGAGCCACCGCACCUGGCCUGCUUCCCCCUUAAUGUUCCCUAUUUUGUUUCCUUUCUCCCAGUCCUGCCUUCCCCCCUCUGCCCCUCACACUAGUAUCAGCACAGCCCUGGACCAAUAGCUCUCCAUGCCACUCUGCUGUCUUCUGCAAACUGAAUGACUUUCCCCAAAAUACUAUUCGGUGCCUGGACAACAUAGCAAGACCCUGGCUCUACUAAAAUAUUUCUAAAAAUUAGCCAGGUGUGGUGGCACAUGCCUGUAGUCUCAGCUAUUUGGAAUGAUCACUUGAGCCCAGGAAGUUGAGGCUUCAGUGAGCUAUGAUUGCAAUGGAGUGAGCCUGGGCAAAGGUGUGAAACCUCAUCUCUGAAAAGAAAAAAAAAAAAAAAAAAAAAAGAUGUGUUGUGGCAAAGCAUUCUGUGGCUCCCUGCUCCUUCCAUGGCAGAUUUCGUCACAUUGGUGUCUUCAUAUAGACUCCACAAGCCACACCAAGCGGCAGACCUGUGUGCGCAUUGCUCAUUCCUGCCUUUAUCCAUUUACAUAUGGGGAAUGCCCUUGAAGUGCCCUUCGCUUUGCCUCUGGAAAUCCAUCUUCUUUCAGGACUCACAUCCUCCACAAAGAUUUAGGGAUCUUUUUCUCCUUACAGGCAUGAACCACCGUGCCCAGCACAAAGUUGUUUUAGCAGUGACAAAUACAUCAGGAGAUUAAAACAGAGUUAUGAGAUAAAGAGGCCAAUGAUUAGAAACUGACCAACUUUAGCCUUCACUAAGUCAGGAAACGGAAAGCUAAUUCAGACCUGGGUGGUCCUUUCUGAGAUAGUGACCUGUGUGCUGAGACCUGAAUGAUGAGAAGCAAGCCCCUUGUGGAGAUUCAGGGACAGCAUGUCAGGGAGGAGGGACAACAAGGGUAGACAUGGAAGAAGGGCCUGGGCACAUUGAAGCAUGUGGCUCUAGAAUGCAAAUGAGGAAGCGCUGUGGCAGAGAGGCCCAAGCAAAGCCAGAGCUGAUCGUACAGGGCUGUAAGGGGGCUCUCGUGGGUUGAAGUGCAUUGAAGGGUCUCAAGCAGACAGAGGAAUCCUAUCCUCUGAUUCAUUCAGUUACCAGCUGACUCUGCUGCUGUGUGGAGAAUGUUUGUAGGUCCAGAAGGAAGCAGGGAUGCUGGCUAGGAAGGGACAGACUAGUGCCAAUUGGAUUCACAUGGCUGUGAAAGAUGAGGGUGACCAACGACCCCAGUUUGCUGGGUCUGAGGGGUUUCCUGGGACACAGGAACUUCAGUGCUAAAAUGAGAAAGUCCUUGGCAAACCUGGAUGGGUGGUCAUCCUAGGCCACCAUGGGUAGAGAUCAAGUCCACCUUACUCGCUGAUGGAUAGAAGGAAGGAAAAGAAAAAAUUGACAGUGACUGAUAGGAAUUUAGCUUGAGCAACUGAGUGGCUGGU